AUGUUGUGGAGAUGAUGAGCUCUUCAUGUCUCUUCUCUGAAUAAAAAUUGUGAGGAGAACUUUUACAGCUCUGAUCUUGGCAU
rnacentral:snoRNA from 1 species